GCAUCCUGGAGAGUCCGGAGGGCAGCUCCCUCCGGCGCCGACGGGGUAACACUCUCAGGUCUGGACAGGACGCUG
rnacentral:ncRNA from 1 species